UGAAAAUGGCUGUCCUGUUUUAUAUAUGUAUUUGUGUUCUAAUAUUGUUUAGAAUGGAUUUUUGUUACGAAAAUUUAGCGAUGAAGCCCGGGAGUUAUGUUGAGUUAAGUACAAUGUUUGAUCACAACUAUCCAGCUAGAGCAAACGAUGGCGAUCUUCGUCAGAACAUCCUUUAUUGUUCACACACUGAUGACGGUCAGUCAAAAGCAUGGUUGCGGGUUAAUCUCGGUGUGAGGUACCAAAUCCAGGAAGUGAAAAUAUUUUAUAGAAAUAGCG